rnacentral:rRNA from 1 species
UACGUAGGUGGCAAGCGUUACUCGGAAUCACUAGGCGUAAAGCGCAGGUAGGCGGUUUGAUAAGUCUGUUGUGAAAGCUCCCGGCUUAACUGGGAGAGGUCAACGGAAACUGUCAAGCUAGAGUGUGGUAGAGGUAGCUGGAAUUCCCGGUGUAGCGGUGAAAUGCGCAGAUAUCAGGAGGAACACCGAUGGCGAAGGCAGGUCUCUGGGCCACUACUGACGCUGAGAAGCGAAAGCAUGGGGAGCGAACAGG